rnacentral:rRNA from 1 species
UACGGAGGGUGCAAGCGUUAUCCGGAUUCACUGGGUUUAAAGGGUGCGUAGGUGGAAUUAUAAGUCAGUGGUGAAAGCCCCGGGCUCAACUCGGGAAUUGCCAUUGAUACUGUUUUUCUUGAGUACGAUUGAGGUGAGUAGAAUAUGUCAUGUAGUGGUGAAAUACUUAGAUAUGACAUAGAAUACCGAUUGCGAAGGCAGCUCACUAAAUCGUAACUGACGCUGAGGCACGAAAGCGUGGGGAUCAAACAGG